AGUACGGAGGUGUUUGGGAAUAUUUUUGAUCGGGUACAGAGAGCAGCGGACAUUUACAAACUAAAGGAGGAGGAGUUCGACUCCCACGGCGAUGAACCCGCUCGAAUCCGUCUACGUGAGGCACAAGCCGUGUAUCUGUGAGAGCUCUCUAUGGAAUAUGAGUUCUGGCGUCAAAAGGCGGCUGUCCGUUGGAUCAGGGAGGGGGAUGCUAACACCUCCUUUUUCCAUUCGGUGGUCAAACAACGUAGAAACUCCAACUUCAUCUCUCGCAUGAAAGACGAUGCUUUGAGCUGGCUCCACGAUGCUGCCGAUAUACAGGACUCCGCGGUGAGGUUUUUUUCGGAGUUGUUUCAGUCGACUGGAUUUGUUUCACCUCCCACGCUGCCUUUUGAACUACCGAGGAUCACCACGGAGGAGGAUGCAAAACUUCGGGAACUGCUCGGGAUGGACGAGCUUCGCUCGGUGGUCUUCUCUAUGGAUGCUAAUAGUGCCCCGGGGCCGGAUGGGUUCGAGGCAGGUUUCUAUCAACACUGUUGGGAGACAAUCAAGGAUGAUCUCUUGGCAGCUGUUCAUGACUUCUUUAUGGGGGUCGAACAACCUCGGGGGAUUUCCAGUGCAUUGAUAGUAUUGAUUCCAAAAGUGGAGGGGGCUUUCCAGUGGAAGAAUUUUAGACCUAUCAGCCCUUACAAUAUGAGCUCAAAGAUCAUUUCAAAAAUACUGGCCAAUCGUUUGGGGCACUUGCUGCCAAGACUAAUUUCCCCUUGGCAAACAGGCUUCGUACCUGGGAGGGGGAUCAUGGAUAAUAUUCUACUGGCGCAAGAACUGCUGCUGGAUUUGGAUAGACGACUCACAUAUCCGAAUCUGAUUAUCAAGCUCGACAUGGAAAAAGCGUAUGACAGAGUUAAGUGGUCUUUCCUUCUUUUCAUGCUUCGUAGCUAUGGCUUGUCGGAAUUCGCAGUAAAUCUCCUCUUUAGGACGUUAUCUACCUCGUGGUUUUCUGUAUUGGUCAACGGCCAAUCAUCGGGUUUCUUGAAGUCUAGCAGGGGAGUGCGUCAGGGAGAUCCGCUGUCGCCUGCCCUUUUCUUGGUUGUCGCUGAAUUUCUUGGUCGGGGUCUUCAAAUGCUUUGCCAUAACCAAGCGGACAUGGGCUAUGUUUCGGCCAGGGGCAGAGUACCUUACCUUGCUUUUGCUAACGAUAUGAUUAUAUUCACUCGGUGCUCGGAAACUUGCUUGCUGGCACUACGUGACUUUCUCCUACUUUACCAGCAGCACUCCGGAUAAAAGGUAAACAUCGGGAAGAGCGCCUUCCUCUCAUCCUCUAGCCUCCCUGCAGAUCUAGACAGUCUUGUGGGUUCGACAUUGGGGUUUCACAAGCAAUGCUUCCCAUUGAAAUAUCUAGGGGUGCCCCUUGCCCGUGGGAGAAUGGGGGUGGUAAUCUUCGACCCCCUCCUAGCAAACCUACGUACACGUCUCUUCCAUUGGAGCUCGAAACUUCUGAGUAUGGGGGAUAAGGUUAUCCUCCUCAGGCACAUGCUUAGCUCGCUUCCCCUAUUUUUAUUACAAGCGCUUUGUCCCCCAAAAUCCGUCUUGGUGGCUAUGGGCAGGAUUUGCAACUCCUUUCUAUGGGAUUCAAAUGUAGAGUCGCGGAGGGUGCAUUGGGCGGCGUGAGAAAAGUUGUGUUUCCCGGUGCAGGAAGGUGGUUUAGGAGUUCGCUCCUUUCAGGACUCUGCUAGGGCCUUUGCUUGCAAGUUCUGGUGGCAACUACGUAAGAACGACUCACUAUGGGCAGAUUUUAUUCAUAAAAAGUAUAUCAAGGGCAUGCACCCUUCGAUCACGGCGGUGGAUCGGCCCCCGGCUUCGUGGAGGCGCCUGCUAGCUGUUCGGGAGUUUGCGGAGUCACAGAUACGAUGGUGCUUAGGGAAGGGAUUCGUCGAUUUCUGGUAUGAUGCCUGGUGUGGCGACCUCCCUCUGGCACAGGAACUGGGUGUGUCGGAUCCUCCCCAUUUCCUAGUGGGUGAGUUUUUUACAUUUCAAGGGUGGAACGUUCCGAGGUUGAGGGAGUGGGUACCAGAAGCCGUGGUUCAACGGAUCACUACCAUCCAUUUUUCCCUGGAGCAGGAUGACGUGAUGGUUUGGGUUCUGUCGCCUAACGGGAAUUUCUCCGUGUCCUCGGCAUUGGAGGCAAUUCAGCCUAAGCGUAGUAUCUCUCUGGUUGACCACUAUGUGUGGGGUCCAGUGGUGCCGCUGAAAGUUUCCUUCUUCGCAUGGCGAUUGCUGCGGCGGUGGCUCCCUCUUGAUUGUAUUCUGCAGGGCAAGGGAGUAACGUUAGUCUCUCGGUGUAAUUGCUGCCUGCAGUCGCAGGAGACAGUUUCUCACAUUUUCCUGCAUGGCACGGUGGCAAAAGCAGUACGGGAGCAUUUUCUCAAGACCUUCGGAUUAUUUCCGGCUAACUCGAGUAGUGUAGCUUCGAUGUUGUCGCACUGGUUUCUCUCUCACUCCAAGGUUUCGGCAGUACAUGUGCGGGUUCUGGUUCCCCUAUUGGUUCUCUGGUUCAUCUGGAAGAGUAGGAACUUGGCAAGGUUUCAAGCAAGCAUUUUUACCCCAACUCAGGUGAUCUCUCAGAUAGAAAAGUUUUUGGGACAGAUGGGUUGGGCUUGUGCUUUCGCGAGGCCCUCUUUUGCAGGUGAUCAGGACUGCCCGUGGGCGAGCCUCUGCAACCCCACAAGGCGAGAUAUGGGGGCGAUGCUGGUCUCUUGGGAAAAGCCACCGAUGGGCUGGCUCAAGCUCAACUUUGAUGCUAGUGUAAUCAAUGGUGAGGCGACUGGUGGAGGGGUCUUGCGCGACCACUGGGGGAGGGUGGUCUGGGCGUACUAUAAGGAGUUUGGGGACUUGGAUGUGCUAGCAGCGGAAGCCCGAUCCCUUCUGUUCGGUCUCCAAUUGUGCAUGGAGCGAGGUGUUAGCUCAGUGAUUGUGGAAUCGAACUCAAGUGUACUAGUGCAGCUCGUGGGUUCGGAAGCCUUGUCGAAGUGGCCACUGUGCACUGUUUUGCGAGAGAUCAGACACCACAUUGGACACCUGGAGGCUUCCCUCCUUCAUGUAUUUCGAGAAGCCAAUGCGGUGGCGGAUGCAUUAGCUUCCCUACAAUUGGGAGAGCAUCGGUUGUUUGAGUCACUCACGGCCCUUCCAUUCAAAGCCAGAGGGGAGGCACGAUUGGAUUGCCAUGGAGUUCCCCGUAUCCGUGCGGGAAGAUGUUGAACAGGAGCAACUGCUUUAUCUUUCUUGCCACUGUUUGGUCUUUCUGUCAUGUAAUCUCUUUUGGUUCUAAUAAAAGUUAGUAUUUAUUUGAAAAAAAAAAACAUCAACAAAAUCCAUAUAGUACCUAAACAAGUCCACGCUUCAAAACGAACAACAAUGAAAAGAAGCUCCAUAGUACACUCCAGGAUACAACACUAAUAAUAACGGUCUGGGCGUUUUACUUGAGCUCAUGGUCUAGUCUGCUGCAGACAAGAAACGUUUUUGGCAAAAGGAACCAAGGAAAGGAGGCUACUUGCUAAUCGAAUUCUCUCAUGUUCCUUGAGGGACUUUUGUACACUAUAUAUAGAACAAAUUAUUUCCAAAUUUUGGUUUCAAGCAUUCGCAGUUUCCACCAUCAAAAUUUGUUUUGGCCUCAAUACACCUCGACAGUAUCAAUUACUCUAUAUUGUACCUCAAACUUUUCUUUUAGACACUUUGACCUGAACUCUACAAUUACUAAUUAACUCCAAUUAGUAUAUAUUGUCCACUUGUUAUGUGUGGUUUUGUCCCACAUUAGUUGUUUUACUAAGGAGUUUUCCUCUUUGUUGGUUAUAAAUGGAGCGCGUCUUUGGUGAGAAGUUCACCAAAUCAAGGGAGUUUUUAGUGGGUUAUUUAGGCUUUUGGAUCAUUAAACAUUUUGUAGUAAAAUAUUUUGGGCUCUAUUGAGUUUUAAAGUUUUUGUACCCAGCUCUUUUAUAUAGUGAAAUUCUGCUUCUCCUCCACUCGUAGACGUAGUUCAAUUUGAUGACUGAGUCACAAACCUUUCAUCAAUUUCUUGGGACUGGACCUAACGCCUCUCCUACUCGUAUGUUGGUAGUGUAUUGCGCAAGUUGGGUAUGUGUUGGAGCAUAAAUUUGCUCGUAUGUUAGUAGUGUAUUGUGCAAGCCGAGUGUGUUUUAGAGAUUAAGCGUGUGUUGAAGUUAGAACUGUCAAUGAGGUUAGACCAACUCAAGUUUGGCUUGUUUAGUCCGAGAAAAAGUCCAUGAGUUGAAUUAGGGAUGGCAAUAGGGCGGGGGUUCCUUUCCCCAUUCCCCGCCCCUUGCCCCUCACCCCCCGCCCCACCCCCGUCCCAUUUUCCCCACGGUCCCCCGCGAUAAAAGAAAUCAACUUAUCAUAAAAUGUUCAUUUACAAUAAUUCACUGAAUUUUUUAUUAGGUUGCACUUGAUUGCCCCUCUAUGUAUAUCUGAAUUUUCAGUUACCAGCCCAUCUCCUGACCAAAAUAUAUCAUUUUGAGUUAUUUUAGCAUUAUACAUAUAUCCAUGGCCAUAUUUUUUUUAUAUAAUACUAAAAUAUUAAACCAUUUAAUUGUCGUAAAACGAGUAUUAGUACAUAAGAUGCCAGAGAUUCAUAUCCAAAGCCACAACAUAGUUUACAACAACAUAGAGCUUUUCCCAUUAAGUAAUAGCAUUCACAGGUCUCCUGAACUAAUUAGCUAAAGAUAACUCCCACCAUAAUAAGUUAUAUCCAGGGCUAUCUAAAAGGAUUGAACAACUCAAAAAUUUAUGCACACAAAAGCCUAGUACAUGAAGCAAAAAAAAUCAGAAGCAAGCCUAUACGAAAAGCAAAACUCUCCUCGUAUGUCCAAGCAAUUUUGAGAACUAACAGGAGAGAGGAAGAAUUCUCAAACACUAACAAAAAAUACCUUGAACAGUUAGGGUUUUGUUACUUUUGUGUGUGUAUAUAUAUAUAUAUAUUUUUUUUUUUUAUGCGAGGGACGGGGUGGGGGACGGGGCGGGGGAUGGGGCGGGUGUAUGUUGCUCCAUCCCCCGCCCCGUUUUGAAGGCGGGGGUAAAUAUUUUGCCCCCGCCCCCACCCCGUCCCAUUCCCCGCCCCAUUUGUACCCCUGCGGGUGUCCGCCCCCAUGCCAUCCCUAAGUCUAAUCUUUUAUUGACUUGAGCUAAUAUUGGGCUUAAAUAUUAGGUUUGAAUUAAAUAUGAGUUGAAUUGGGGCCUUAUUAAGCUCCAACCCAAUAUAAGCCCGACCCUUUAAUUUGCACAUAUAUAUAUAAUUAUAUAGAAUAUAUUCAUGUUUUGAUAUAUAUAUAUAUAUAAUUAUAUAUCUAAAUAUAUAAUGCUAAUGCUUUAUACUUAUGAGUUAUGUGUCAAAAUAUAUUAAUAUAUAUAAGAAAUAUUAAAUAUACAAAAUUAUGUCAAAAUAUUCAACAAAACAAAGUUUAGUAUGAGCAAAUUGAGGACCUUUGAAGAUGUAUUAAUUAUUGAUUAUGUUUUAUUACUAUUUUCUAUGUACUUUGAACCAAUUGGAUAUAUUAUUGUUGAAAAAUUCUUGGUUUAUAUAUUUUUUAAUGAAUUGUUAUUGGUUCACAUAUAAUUUUAAUGUUGUGAUCCUAUGGAUGUUAAAUUAGCUUUAGAACAUAAUAGUUAUAGUAAUUAUAUUAAGAAACUUAAAGAGUAAUAAGUGAAUUUAAACUAAAUCCGAAUUAGGUUCACAUCUCGAAUAUUUUGUGAGCCAAGUAUAAACUUCAUAUUUAUCAACCCAAAACUGAAAGUAGUACUAAUUAUAUGACUCAAGGAUGAGGUUGUUAAAGUGUGAUUCAGAUGGCCCGAAUGACAAGCCUAGUUGCAGCAUAAAUUCCGGGAUUAGGCGAUAUCUAACAACAGAAUGAAACAUGCCUAAGGCCUCUGGCCAACCUAUGGCCAGGAUGUAUAGUGGAUGGGUAACUGGUGACACAUAACUAUUCACAACUAGGCUCCUCUCAAUUGUAUCGGAGAGAAUCUCUCUCCAUCAUACUCUCAUAAAAUUAAUUGUAAAUUUAUUUUGAAAAUCAACAUCAUUCAUAAUAUAUUUCAUCCCUUGUGUUAGAUAUAUAUAUAAAAUUUUGUGUUAGCAAUUUUACAAAAUUUCACUAACAAAUUGACUAAGUUUUACCCUGUAAUUAAUCAUUUCAAUUUUGUUACAAUUUUGACUCAUGUUUUACAAUUUAAAAGUUUUGUAUAAAUUGAACAUCAAAAUAUUCUUAAAAGAGUAUCAUUUUUUAGUAUGUUGAUUUAGACAUUAAAAGAAAAAUAAUGACACAAUCAGAUGAUGUUAUGGAGUUAUAAAAUUUUAGAUAUAGAUAAUGGAAGGAUCAAUAGAGAAAAAUUCAAUGGAAAGCCUUCAAUUAGGAAGUGUCGAUCAAAGGUUUUGUAAGGGAGUACUACUUCUCAUUUUGGGUUUAAUUUUGCUAUGUAUUUUGGGUUCAACAAGUUUUGCAGAAUUUGUGAAUUUUUAACUUUUUAAACCGAAACAAGUCAGAGCCUGAGCAGACAUUGAGCAUAUAUGUUCUAACCUGGUUUGCUACGAUAAGAGUUAUUUGGAAUAGAAACUUGUAGAGUUUUCAAAACACUUUUUCUUCUAAUAUUUUUAUUUAUUUGUUACAUUGAAUUUUAAAAUUUUUCAAAUAAUCUUCAAUCCAUUACUUUCUUAUUUUAUCAUUUCAUGUGCCUUAAGACACAUUCACGUGUACAAUUCAAGAAAUAUAAAUAUUGACACUAAUUGUAACACUUCAAUUUUUAACUCGUGUAAGGUUAUUGAUUGAAGGAUUAAAUACUCACUUAAAAUAUUUACGCGAGAGAGGAGAAAAUAAAUAAUGCAUACUAUUAUUGAAAUUUCAACUAAUGGAAGAAAACCACAACUGACACAUUUUUAAAAAAAAAUUAUCUCAACCAAUGCCCUAUUUAUAACUUACAAAGACUUUUAAAAUGAGAAAUUACUCAUACAAAAAAUUGUUAAAUAAAAAACAAACUCCUAAAUAACACAACUACGUAAAACAUAAAUAAAUAGAAACUUCUAGAGCAGGUUUGUUUUGCCAACAAAGAUGACGUUCUUCAGCAACCAAUUCUUAUUCCUUUUAUUGGUUAUUUAAUUUAUUGUACGUUCAAUCUUUGUUUUGCUCCUAAAGCAAAAUAUGACUUAUAGAUCCAAUCCGGAUCCAUGGAAUUUCUGUGCAGUGAUCUGAUCUAGCCGUUCUGCCGUCUCACUUGUAAGAUAAUUUUUCCAAUCUCCAACCUUACCAUUACGAAAAAAUACCUGCUUCCUAAGAAUCCACCAGGUCCCGCUCUUGUUCACCUCCAAAUUUCUCAAGUGAUCAAAACUACAGAGCCCUUAAAUCUCAUCAACCGCUCCUGCUGUCUCUUCCUCCUGAGAAAUUGGACAACCCAAGAACUGGGCAAGAAGUUUCAGGUAAAAUGCAGGUUCCUGUGUCAUUUGUUCAUACUUCAGAAAAAGUUCUUUUCGGGACUUGUCCAAGCUUGCUUUCCAGUAAUCUAAAACAUGAUCCCAAACAGUCGACCAGACAUGCUCACUCCCUUACAAAACAAGUCAAAAAAUUCUUCAAAAGAAGUCUCAGCACUCCCCAGCUUAUUAGUGAAGUGCCGAUACGGGACAAUAACAUCCUUAAUGUUUCUGUAUAUAUAGACAAUCUUGCAACCCGAAUUCAUCACUGACUCAGGCAGUAGCGCAAGCGGGCAGUGGGUUCCAAGCAGUCUUCUUGAAUCUUGGAAAUAUUGUCAGAAAGAAUAUUCAGGGUCCUGUUUAUUAUGAGAGAGAGCAUAAAAUUCCAGUUGUGGCACAAGAACAUAAGGACUUUGGUUGAGCAAAGGGUGGCUUGGGUUGAUGGGGAGAAUAUUUCGGUUCAUCAAGGCGAAUGCGAGGGCCUUCAGCCAUGUGGUGCCCUACGAGGGAGUGGUGAUUAGCAGGACAUCACUGUCUCGAGCCUGGAAGUGCUUUUGGACUUCAACGAGCCCUGGCAACUGGUUAGUAGUAAACCAAAAGCCAUUGUACUUGUACAGAUAAGAAGAACCUUGCCAUCUCUCUCUGGGGAGAGUAGAAUACAGGUUCUUGCACUGGUCUUGCAUUAGUUCCUCUACUUCUGAAUCUUCUGAGAAAGGAACUUUGAAGGAGGAUGGAGUUGUAGACAUAUUGUUGCCUUUAGGAUUGUUAUUGAAUAUACUUGAUUGUUGCUCAGCUCUCAAGUCCCUCGCUCGGUUCUUCUAUAGACAUAGUGUAGGGGCAGUAGGAGCUAUUGACCCCACUGAACUUUAUAAUGCAUAUGCAUAAUUUUAUAAGUUUAUCCCCGUAUUUAAAGUUUAUUAUCUCAUUACCAACAGUUAAUAGUCUUUGAAUGGUUAGACCUUGAUCUCUAAAGAUGUAUUCAUAAACUGGAUUAUAAACUUGUGGGCAUGUCUCACACAAUAUAUGUAUAUAUAUAUAUAUAUGUAUAUAUAUAUAUAUAUAUAUAUAUAUAUAUAUAUAUAUAUAUAGAUGAGUGUGUGCAUUAUGGUCUUUUAAUUUCUUAUCCAGCUAUUAUACAAAUUAAUCCUUCUUAAUUAACUUAACUUACAAGUAAAAAAUUCACCAAUGACAUACCAAUGCACUUGAACCAAUAUUUUUUUAAUGUUAUUUUUUUGCCAAUUUUUCCUUACUAAAUCAACACACUUGUCAAUAAAAAGAUAAUUAGUUUUACCUUUUACACUUGGAUUAAAACCAAUCAAGACACAACUUUAUUAUUUAUUAUUUUACCAUUAAAGAUAGAGAAAACUUAUUAGGGACUCGCGAGAUUAGAAGUGACAAAAUACUUUAUAGCUAUUUGAGGAAAUAAACCUUUGUUGAGAUUUUAGAGAAGAAAUGGAGAAACCCAAAAAAGGAUUGAUUAGUAAGAAUAUUAUUAUUGUUUCCCAAUUAGCACUCCAAAUCUCCAAGCAAGAAUUCUUUCUACUAUUUAGAAAUUUACUUGGUUAUAUCUUCAAUAAAAUUUUGUAAAUUGCUGAUUUUUAUUCACAAACAUAUGGUUAGGUUAUAGUUUUAUAGGGUAGUUUUUGGGAAGAAAUUUUUAAAUCAUUUAUAAUUUGUAGUUCGCGCUUGCAUUUGAUGGUUUAUGUGAUGAAAUUAUAUAUAUUUUUUCAUAGUUCGUUUGUGAAUUAAUAUCUAGUUCGAUGUUUAAUUUUAACCAAUUACGAAGAGAUAUUACAAAAGGAAGAUUAUGAUUGAAGAACGAUUUAAUGUUGAAGUUGAUGAUAAUGAUCAUGGAAAAGAUCAUUCAAAAAAAAUUAGGUGAAGGUUAAUUUUGAUGAUUUACUAUUAAUUUAGGAUUGAGGAAAAGUUGUGUUAAUUAUCACCCUAAAUUUGCCCCACUGAAUUAAGUUUCUAACUCUACCCCUACCUAACUCCAAAAUCUACAUCACAAACUCGCCAACUUUGUUAGUGCACGACAACGUAUACUGAGCUAAUUCUAAAAUCUACAUCGCAGACUCGCCAACUUUCCUAGUGCACAACAACGUAUUUUGAGCUCGUGGUGCUUCAAAUCAAUGGAAUGAUUGAACCACAAAAUAGAGCAGAUCGUCUACAGACAUCAAGGAAAUCCGUGUUUUUUAACCUUUUACCCUCCUACUCUUCCUCGGAAGAGGUGAAUUCUUGGUGAACGAGUCAAGGUCACACCAAAAAACGAUAUCACCUGUAAAAUUUUAAGUGACCGGGGCUCUGUCCCCUAGUCUCAUUCCGAUGCUGAAGUCAGAGGUAGUUCGGAAGUUGAAUGUACGGAUUAGAUUCCAUAUCUCAUUUGGAAGUGGUAGAUGGGUAUUUAUAAUAGAUGAAUCUAUGGAUAGAAUGAUGAGAUCUACCCACUGUUAGCCAUCAUGAGGUCACUUAAGGCGGCGGUGCCAGUUAUAGAUCUGAGCAGUAUGGUGACUAGCAGUCACAUCACUCCAUCAAUCACAAGUCACCCAGACAACUGAGAUGUCGGUUGUCUUGGGCAGAGGAGGUGACGAGGUGAAACUUCUCUUCAAAGUGAUUUCGCUAAUCAAUUCGACUGAGAAUGUCCAAGACGAGGUAUCUCUUGUAGAAAGGGCAUGGAUGGGAUUGACCAAGCCCAGACAGGCUAAGAUGUCCACACCUCCCAUUCUUCCCACCCUCAAUUGGUGGUACAGGUUUCGAACCGUAAACCUGAUGGUGAGCAAAAACACUAAUAGCUAGUUUGGGAGUUCAGAUUUCAAAGGAAUAGAAAAAAAAGGAAGGGAAAGGUGAACUUUUCACGUUUGGGAGAUUUUAGUGAGACGGAAAAAAAAAGAAACGAACGGAUCUUGAAGAGAAGCCAAGUGCUGCUACAGUGCAAAAAUUUGCUGACCAAAACGGGCGGAAAGCGAAGGAAAACUGAUGGAAGCUUACAAAUUUUUUUUUUAUCCUUUCUUUUCUCACAUAACUUAUCAUUUCUCUUCUUUUCUUUUCUAUCCUCAACUCACAAACUAGCUAUAAGAGUUCAUUUUGACUAUUGAUCAGUCCCAAUGAUUAUUUAUUAAUUAAUUAUUAAACAACACCGCACUUAAAAGACUCAAAGAGUCCUUUCUCGAUUACUGACGGGCCCAAUGAUUAUGAAUUAAUUAAUUAUUAAACAACUCCACACUCAAAAUAAAUACGAAACAACUGAAAAUGGAACAAAAAAGGAAAAAAAAAAUGCUCCGUGUGUUGAUACUCCAAUAGUCUAAUGUACAGCUACUGGCCCUGCUGACUCGUGACAUUAAAAAGAUCUUUUGUAGAAGGAGUCGCAGACACGCGGUUGUUGUAAAAUUUGUGAAUUAUUUCUCUCACGUCCCGCUGUGUAGUGGCGGAGCUAGGAAUUGCAAUUAGGGGAGCGAGUCUCUGUUAUUUGGAUAAAGUCCAAAUAACUUUCAAACAUUAUUAUUUGGGUCCUUAGGAGGGGGCAAAGUGAAAUUUUUUAUCAAUAUUUUGGGGGGGCAAAACAAUAUAAGAAAAAUUUUUUUUACUUAGAAAUUUUUUUAUAACAAUUGGAGGGGGGCAAAGUGAAAAUUUUUAUCAAUAUUUGGGGGGGGCAAAAUAAUAUAAUAAAAAUUGUUUUACUUAGAAAUUUUUUUUUUAACAAUUGGAGGGGGGGCCUGGCCCCCCCUUCCCUCCGCCCCUGGCUGUGUGGUAGCAUUUCUGAAACGGAAUACGACUUCACAUGGGGUAAUCAACUACAACAGUUGAUCAUCAAGAGAUUUUUAAAAUUCUAUUUGAAUGUAGAUCAAGGGAUCGAAUCUCUUGACCUGAUGGUAGUUCAGUUCCUCCAAAUUUCCUUCUUGGCUCUGUUGGGUCACCCUCCCUCCCCGGCCCCGCAGUAUAGUGUAGGAAUAGAUAUAUCGUUUUUGGCCAAAAAAAAAAAAUUAACUUCACAUGGGGUACCAAAGGGAGAUGUGAUAGGAUGAUGGUGAAAGGCGAGAGCAUGAUUGGGGUAUUUUUGGAUCUUUAAUGUGCUUUUGAGAUGUUUUCCGAGAGGUUAAUGUAGAUUUUUGGUGAGAAGAAACAUGUUUAUUUAUUUUAUUUUUAUACAUAUAAGGUACAAGUAGCACCCAGAGCUUCUCAUAAGCAUAUAAAAGCAAAUUGUUAAUGUUUGACUGCGUGAUGCUUUCAAAUAAAUAAGUUUUAAUUUUUUAAUCACGCUGUUUUAACUCAUUUUUUGCUAAAAAUAAUUUAAGUUCCAUUGGUUGUUCAAGCAAUUUGACAUUUUUUAAAUGUAUAAUAUAAUGAAAAUGAGGAAUUUUUCUAAAAUAUUUGAUAACUUUUGACUUUAUGUUUUUUUGUAUUUCUAUUAGCAUUUAACGUUAUAGAAAUGAACUGACAUUGCCACUUAAGAUAUUAUAUAUUUUUGUGAUCAAUUUUAUUUUAAUUGAUUUAUACGUUAAUAUUUGCUUUUUAUUACCAUAAAUUCUUUUCCUAUGUUAAUCAAAGGAAUGCGUUAACGUCUAAAUAACAAAUAUAUAUAUAUCUUUAUUAUAUUUCAUUAAAAUGCACUUCUCUCUCUUUUUUUUGUUUUAAUGGUAGCCGUUAGAUUUGCAUAUAUUUUUGUCACUAUUUUUUUUGCCAUCAGAUUAUUAGAUUAUUCAAUAAAUCUUAUUUAUUAUAAAUUCUAUCUAAUUUGGAGCGAAAAACAUUUUUCUAAGCCAUUGCAUUAUUAGAUUAUUCAACAAGGCAGCUUACAGAUUAUUUGACUCUCCUGUUUUUCCUCUCGUUUGCUUGUAAUAAGUCAAACAAUGCAAACAUUCUUCACACUCCACUUUUUGACAAUUACCUAAUCAAAUGAGGCAAUUACUUUGUUCCUUAGAGUUAGGUUGUCCUUCACAAAAAUGCCAACCUUUUGAUAAAUUAUCAAUUGCACUUCAUCUUUUCAUAACCAUUAGAUUGAAAUACAAAGUACUACACUAGUUCAGCUUUCAUAGAUUAUCUUUUUAGAUGAAAUUAUUAUCAACAAACAAAUCUUGAAUAGUACAGUGCACACUACUACAUACAUUACCAACUGUUAUUCUGUUUUAUUUGCUUUUCGUUCUCGCAUAGCAAAAAGAAAACGUUCUUGCUUUCUCAUCAUUUGGUAAUACAAUUUUUCUUAGCUUUUUUUUCACCAUAUCUAUGCAUUUACGUCUUAUUGUAGUAAGAUAUAGUUUCUUUUACAUGUUUUGUGUUUUGAUUUUGCAGCGUUGCCUUCAACAUUCAAGACUUUUGCUUUGUCCAUCACUUUACUUCAAGUUAGUCACAUUACUCAUAACUAGCCUGCCUAAUGUUUGAUAAAAUGUUGAUUAAGAUUACUUGAUAUUUACAAGUUUCACAAGUAAACUACUAGUAGCUACUUACUAUUGAAUUAUAUAUACUGUGUGACUUAUGAUUGUAAACUUUAGCAAUGAACUUUGAAACUAUUUAGUCUAUUUAGAUUUGUUUUUCUGCUUUUGUGACAUUUUUAGAUUGUUUAUGUUAAAGAUGCUUGCUUAUUUCUUUAAUGGAUAGCUAAGCUAAUUGAAUGUCUAUUUCAUUAUCAACUAAAUUUUGACAAUCAAAACAAAGAAAAAAAUCAAUUAGACAAGUUAGUAUAAUUCCUCACUCAACUGAUAAAGGAUGUAAUAAUAGAUUUUUAUGUCAAUCAAUAUCAGCAAACUGUAACAUGCAAGUCCAAGACCAAAAUUUCAAAAGUUCAGUGUAUAGAUCAUGCACUGUUGUUCUUGUCUCAUUGCCUUCAUAAAUGAAUUAAAAUAAAAUUGAUAGGAAAAGUGCAUAUUAUGUUUGGUAGUAAUUUCAGUUGGUUUAUACAAGUUUAAAUGGUACUGAAUAUUUUAAAAUGCUGCUAAAUAUAAUUUAUUAAUGAAUUAAAAUAAAAUUGACAAGAAAAAUCGUAUAAUAUAUUAAGUGGCAAAGUAAGUUCAUCUGUACAAGUUUAAAUGCUAAUAAUCCAAUUUCUUUCCAUUUUAGUAAUGUACAUAUUUUACGUAUAUAUUUACACAUGACACUCAAUUCAAAAACAUUCCUUCAAAUUUUGCUACCCUUAAAACACUUCAAGAUAGGCAUUGGCUGUGUUGCACAGCCAAACCUUACUAGUAUUACAACAUAUGGAGAGAGGUCCUAGCUUAGUUAGCCCACAAUUUUUCAUCAUCAAAAUAUCUAAAACCACAACAAUUAGUAAAUCAAAAUAUAGAAAAAAUCAAAUAAAGAAAGAAAGAAAAGAAAAACUCUCGUGGAUGAUGCCUUGCUUUCAAAAGCAACAGUCACAAUCAAAGGGGCACAAAGGAGUAACCUUCAGUAGCCGCCUUCCCUACCGCCAAAUCCUUUUCGCUAUAUGUAACUGGACCAUCUCCAGUCCUCUUUCCCGGCCUCCGCCCAGCUCCUCCUGCUGAUGGUGGUGCGUCACUCCUUCCAUUUUCCUGUCCAGGACCAUUCUUGUUUGCAUUCCUUUUACUAGUAUUAUUCUUUUUUGUCAUCAUUUUAUCAUGAUCCGAAUCUCUAGCUGUCUUCUUGGGAGUGGGCUUUAGAUUAUCUAAUUUUUUGCUCUGCUUCUUCUUUGAAGUGAGAAUCUAAUCAAUCUCAACAAAGAACGUUUAGGACAAAACAUACUCCUAUGCAGACUAGAAUGCCCUUUCUUUUUCUUCCUGCGUCACGGGCGUGUUUGGAUUGGAGAUAAAAAGGCAUUGAAAAAUGUGCUGAUAAUGCAAGUAAUUUAAUGUAUAUAAAUAAAGUGUAAAUAAUGUGCAAUUCAAACACACUCAUCACUCAUAACAUUUGAAAUUGACAAAAGAGCUAGUAAUUUACACUUCUAAUAAAAUACUUCAGCUAAUACUCUAUUUAAAAACUUACAAAGACUUAUAAAAUAAGAGAUCACUUGCAUACGAAAUUACUAAAUAAAACACGAACUUCAAAACAAUACAACCACUAAAAAAUUGACGCUAAUAAAAUUAGUAAAUAAAUAAAUAAAAACUUCUAGACUAAAGCAAAUAUGACUUAUAGAUCCAAUCCGGAUCCAAGGAAUUUUUGUGCAGUGAUCUGGUCAAGCCGUUCUGCCAUCUCACUUGGAAGAUCAUUUUUCCAAUCUCCAACCUUACCAUUACGAAAAAAUACCUGAUUGCUAUGAUUCCACAUGGUCCCGCUCUUGUUCACCUCCAAAUUCCUCAUGUGAUCAAAGCUACAAAGCCCUAAAAUCUCAUCAACCACUCCUGCUGUCUCUUCCUCUUGAGAAAUUGGACAACCCAAGAACUCGACAAGAUGUUUCAGGUUAAAAGCUGGUUCUUGUGUCAUUUCUUCAUACUUAAGAAAAAGUACCUUUUGGGGCUUGUCCAAGCUUGCUUUCCAGUAACCUAAAACAUGAUCCCAAAUAGGUCCAGAUAAGCUCACUCCCUUACAAAACAGGUCAAAAAAUUCCUCGAAAGAGGUUUCAGUACUCCCCAACUUAUUAGUGAAGUGCCAAUACGAGACAAAAAUAUCCUUAAUGUUUCUGCUUAGAUAGACAAUCUUGCAACCCGAGUUCAUCACUGACUCGGGCAGUAGCGCAAGCGGGCAGUGGGUUCCAAGCAGUCUUCUUGAUCCUUGGAAAGAAUAAUCAGGGUGCUGUUUAUCAUAAGGGUUAGGAUAUUCCAAGUGUAGCACAAGAGUAUGAGGAUUUUGGUUGAGCAAAGGGUGGUUCUGGUUGAUGGGACAAAUAUUUCGGUUCAUCAAGGCAAAUGCGAGGGCCUUCAGCCAUGUGGUGCCCGACUUGGGAGUGGUGAUAAUUAGGACAUCACUGUCUCGAGCCUGGAAGUGCUUUCGGAAUUCAACGAGCCCUGGCAUCUGCAUAGUGCUGAACCAAAAGCCAUUGUACUUGUACAGGUAAGAACCUUGCCAUCUCUGUCUGGGGAGAGUAGAAAGCAGGUUCUUGCGCUGCUGUUCCAUUAGUUCCUGUAGUUCUGAAUCUUCUGAUAAAGGAGCUGAGGAGGAGGAUGGAGAUGUCGACAUAUUGGUGGCUUUAGGAUUUGCAUUGAGUAUACUUGAUUGUUGCUCGGUUCUUCUGUAGACAUUUAUAUAGCCUAGCUCUAGAUCCGAAGAUAGUUGGAGGCAGUGGGAGCUAUUGACCCCACUGAAAUUUAUAAUGUAUAUCCAUAAUUUUAUCAGUUUGUCCCCAUACUUAAAGUUUAUUGUCCCACUCCCAACACUUGAUAUUCUUUGAACCAUUAGAUCUUGAUCUCUAAAGAUAUAUUUUAAAAAAUGGAUUAAAAAACUUGCGGGCAUUUCUCACAUCUAUAUAUAUCCUCACUAUACUAAAAGUGCGAGUUGGAGUUGCUACAGUGGUCAUGGACCGGUUAUCCAGUAAUUUUGAGCAACUUCAGUGGCAUUUUCAUAGGCAAAUAGACUGGUAAUGCUAUAAAUUUCGACAAUUCCAGUGGCAUUUCAUAGGCAUUUGUUUGGGCUUGCCCUCUUGCUCCAGUGUUCAGACGCUAGAAUUCUUUCCCCUCUCCCUCCAGUGGCAUUUUUUAGAUAUAUCCUCACUAUACUAAAAGUGCGAGUUGGAGUUGCUACAGUGGUCAUGGACCGGUUAUCCGGUAAUUUUGAGCAACUUCGGUGGCAUUUUCAUAGGCAGAUAGACUGGUAAUGCUGUAAAUUUCGACAAUUUCAGUGGCAUUUCAUAGGCAUUUGUUUGGGCUUGCCCUCUUGCUCCAGUGUUCAGACGCUAGAAUUCUUUCCCCUCUCCCUCCAGUGGCAUUUUUUAAGAAGCAUAUAUGUGCCAUAUAUAAAGCUUGAUGCCCUUUACGGUGUUGCAUUGUUAGUUCUUUCUUCUUCUUUUUAUUUUUUAUUUUUUGCCUUUAUUAUAAAGGAUAAAAUGGAUUUAUUCUGUAACAAAGUAAUAAAACAAUACCAGGAGUUGAAAAGAAAGUGUGGCAAGUUGUAUUAAAUAUGGAUAUUUAUCUAACAAUAUAAAAGUGAGAGUUGCCCCAUGAACAAUGUUUUUUUGUAAAGCGGUUAUCCUGCAAUUGUUAUUGGAUGCCCGGACUAUUAGUAAAUAACAUACUAAUUAUUCUUUUUUAUAGAACGAAAAAUAAGAAUAAAAACAAGGGCAUUAAAAAUUUGUAAUAAUAAUAUAGAGUAAUAUGGAUAUAUAGACUAAUAUAUCUUCAUAAUUGCAUGUUUUAAAAAGUAGUAGGAUUAGAAACCAUUUUUAGUCCGUGACACCUUAACCGAUUUUGGUUAAUUGUGAUAACAAUGUUGGACUUCUUUUCUUUUUUUUUUUUUACUGCUGUUCAAUUUUUGGGAAUCAUGUAGUCAAAAGCUACUGCUAAACAUGCUAAACAAUCACUGCAUUCAACAAUUUUACAUAGCACUAUUUUAUUUCAUUUUUUUGCAAUAUAUGCAUUCAUUUUUUUCCAAACAAUUUUAUUUCAUGUCGCAGUAAUAAAAUCCAUUUUUUAAAGUCACUAAAGGCAAUAAUAAUUUAUUAAUUAUUUCCUCAAUAAUUGUGUAUUUACAGAACACUAAACAUUAUUUAGAUUGUUUCUUACAUUAAAAAAAUUAAAGUACUUUAAAUUUCAAAUAAAUUUAAUAAUACAUGGCUCUUAAUAUAGAUUAAUGAUCUAAUAUUAGUGAACGGCAUUUUACAAAAAUAUGAAAGAAAAAUAAUUGUUGUGAUUAUAUUGAUUAAAUGUUUUAAUUUGUGCAAAAAAAAAGGAAAUAGGCUCAUAUUUAUGGAACUUAGUGAGUAAUAGAGAUAUACAUAAAUAUAAACGUGUAUCUUUAUAAUUACCUCACCCAAACCACAUAAUUUGUACAAAUCAUACCACACAAAAUGUCGACACUGCAUUGUCUCAAUUAUAGUACUUUAUUAACCAUUAUAUUACAAAGUAUCCUCCAUACUUCGCAAACUAUUAACACUAUAUUCACCCAACCAAUUUACCGCACUAUUAUUUUAUAAUUUAAGCCAAACUUAUAAUAAUUAUAUAACUCUCUACAUUAUAAGUAAUAUAUAACGGCUAAAAAUUAAGCAACUUAACACGGAAAAUAUUAGCACUCCUGCGCAAUGCGCAGGCCGUCUCACUAGUAAUAUAUAAGUGUGUGUAAAUGUGUGUGUAUAUAUAUAUAAAUCUAUUUCUUUUUCCCCCUUUAUCCCACUUGGGAUUCUCGGUGACAUAUUUUCUAUGUCAAUCCAAUGCCACCUCUAAUAUUGCGCCAAGUGUCCUAUUAUUAUUUGCACUUUAAUUUUCUAAUAAUUCAAAUUGAUUUGGUUUAACACAAGUUUUCUCUACCCUCUAAACCUUUGAACCAAAAUUAACCGACUGGUCUAAUUCAUAUACCAAUACUUUUGAGUUAACCACGGAAAACCCUAAACAAAAUUGCCUCCAAACCCUAAACGAGAUUCUACACCAUAUUGUUGUCAAGAACGGUUGCCGGAGCAAACAUCAACAAUUCUACGUAAUUUAUGUGCACUAUUUUGUGUUCAUCACACCAUUAAUUUAUGGGUUAUUCGUAAUCAUAUCAAAAAACACUACUAUGUUUUGUCCUCGUAGUUUUCAUAUGUGAGUUUCCAUUCAUCUCGCCACCAUCUGUGGAUUAAAGUUUUUUUUUUGUGGAAAUAAGUUUGGAACGCUGUUUUACCAUAAUUUGUAUUACUCGUAGCUACUCCUGGGAGGUGUACAAUAUACGGUUUCACACAGGAAGGGUAUAAAAAAUUGUAGUUCAAAUUUCACACUGCUGAUUCUUUGAUAGACAUUAGAAUUGUCAUCAUAGGGAACAAAGAAAACAAGGGUUUAAAGAUCUACAUGUGUAGUCCUUCAAACACGACAUGUGUAGUACAGAUUUUGUUGGAUCCCAAAUAUGUUUGAACAACUUUUUCAUUGUCGGAUCCCAAGUUCAUAGAAAUUGAGAUCAUCUAAUGCAAGCAUGAAAAAUAUGAGUCAACAAUUUUACAACAUAAAUUAAAUACAACUUGUGAACGAGGCUUUGGCUCUUCUUAGUCAGAGCAUUAAAUGCUCCUUUUGUAUGCAGUUGCCUGAAAGGCCUGUCACGGUAUAACCUUUAGCUUUUAUGAAUUAUUAGUGCACAAUAUGCUCGGUUUAUUUGCAGUUUUUGUAUGAUUAAUUGAUCUUAACAGAUUGAAAAAUGUUUUCUUGGGUCAUUUUUUUGUUGUUCAUAAUCGAAGGACUAAAUUUGUGGUUUUGUUUGUAGGGCAGAUAAGGAUUUGUGGUGAUCCUAUUUAUCUGCAUUUUUGUUUGGUAAUGGAUUGUUGUUACAAGAAAGAAAAUGUAGAACUGUUUGGUUUCCUUGAUUUUAACUUCAUUCUUUGUCCAGUGUAAGGGCUUUACUUGGGAUUGUCUUAAACUUUUUCUGGUUGAUCGGAUUGAAUACUAUUUUCAUGUUUCUAUGCCUAAAACUUAAAACUAGCACUAUAAGUUUAUGAUGAAGCAAAUAUUUGUUCAGGCAUUUUUCUCGUUUUUAUGUGCACUAUUUUUUUACUUUUGUUUUUAUUGUUAUUGAUUUAGCAUGAAUUAUUGUUUAUUGUUUACAAAUAAUUUACUAUGAACGAAUACUUUUGAUAUUGAAAAAAUAUUUACUUAAAUAAUCAUUCAAUGAAACUUAUUGUAUUGCAAUUAACUUUGUGUGAAAGUUUGCAGGAUAUGGAUGCUACGACUUCUAUGGAAACUGAGGUAUCAUCCUAUCGCAGAUUGGAUUUUGACAAGGUAGAUCAAAUUACCAAUGAUGAGGUUUCCACUCCACCAGUUUUAAAUGUGAUAAAAGAUGUAAACAAAAUUCAUGCAUCGAUUCCUCCUGAACUACUUCCGAAGAUGGGCAUGGAAUUUGAGAAUGAAGAAGAUGCUUGUAAUUUUUACUUAGCGUAUGUAAAGGAAGUUGGUUUUGGAAUCAAAAGAAGUAGCUUCCACAAAGAUAGCAAUGGUAGGCUCAUGGAUAGGGUAUUUUGUUGUAGUGCUGAAGGAAACGAGGAAAGGAUAAAAAAGAUCUCAAUGUAAGAGCCCCUCGUCCUGAAACACGAUUUAAUUGUUCGGCAAAGAUGAAGGUUAAUAGUAGACAAACUAGUAAGUUUCAUAUAUGUCAGUUGAUCAUUGAGCAUAAUCACUAUCUUUUAAGUUCCAACAAAAGUCAUUUACACAGAUCACAUAGAAAGAUAAAUUCUAUUCAUGCAGCUGAAAUUGAUAUGGCACACCAUGUGGGUAUAACACCAAAAGUUUCUCAUGAACUUAUGGCACUACAAGUAGGAGAACGGGAGAACUUAGGUUUCAUUCCUGAGGAUUACAGGAAUUAUUUACGUUCUAAACGGACAAUACAAAUGGAUGUUGGAGAUACAGGAAGCGUACUUGAAUAUUUGCAAAAAAUGCAAUUAGAGGAUCCUAAUUUCUUCUAUGCAAUUCAAGUGGAUCAGGAUGCUUUGAUUACAAAUAUUUUUUGGACUGACGGAUUAAUGAGGGUAGAUUAUGCAAGUUUUGGAGAUGUUGUUUGUUUUGACACGACGUACAGAAAGAAUAAUGAAGGCCGUCCAUUUGUUUUAUUUGUUGGAGUGAAUAAUCAUAAAUAGACUGCAAUAUUUGGGGCUGCUUUAUUAAAUGAUGAAACUACUUCAACUUUUGAAUGAUUGUUUGACACUUUUACGAGAGCCAUGUCAGGAAAAAAACCAAACACUAUACUUACGGAUCAGAACGCAGCAAUGGCUAAAAGACUAAUUUCUACAUGGUCUGAAACACGUCACCGUCUUUGCAUGUGGUAUAUAUUUCAAAAUGCAGCUAUUCAUCUCAGUCAUGUGUUCGAAAAGUUUAAACAAUUUGCGAAUGAUUUCAGUAGAUGUGUAUAUGAUUUUGAUGAAGAAGAAGACUUUAUAUAUGAAUGGAAUGCUAUGUUGAAGAAGUAUGGUCUUGAAGACAAUGAUUGGUUAAAACGUAUGUUUGAAAUUAGAGAAAAAUGGGCAUUGGUGUAUGGAAGGGAAACAUUUUGUGCAGAUAUGACAACAACUCAAAGGAGCGAAAAGCAUGAAUAGUGUGAUAAAAAGGUAUGUAACCUACAAGAAUAAAUUUCAUGAGUUUUUCAAUCAUUUUGAGAGGUUAGUUGAUGAUCAUAGAUAUAAUGAACUUCAAGCUGACUUUAGAGCAUAUAUGAGUACUCCAGUACUACCAUUUGAUGUUGAUGUUUUGAAACAAGCUGCAAGUGUUUAUACUCCUGAAAUAUUCAAAUGGUUUGAAAUUAAGUGGGGUAAAUCUUAUGAUUGUGGUAUAAUCACUUACAGUGAGGUUGGAACAGUAACAGAGUAUAAGAUCACUCCUAAAGGCAGAAAAAACUAUCAUAUGGUUAGAUUUGAUGCAAUAAUAUUUUCACUUGCCAAAGAUACCCCCGUGUGUUUAUCAAAAGCAUUCUCCCUACCAAGUCUCUUCUUCUCCAAACCCUGGUGAUUUUAGGUCCGCUCAUCUUCAAACCAAAACCGCAGCCAUAUGAAGAAAAAUUGGUGAGUUUGGGUCUGCUCAUAGCAUGUAAUCGAUUUGGGAGGAGAGGUAAGAGUCUUGAACUUGUUAAUUUUGAGAUGUCUUCCUCAAGUUAUAGAAGUGGGAAUGGAAGUAGGGAUUUGAGAUAUCAAUAUGGGCUAUGUGAUUGUGGAAGAAAGUCUAAAAUAAAAAUUGUUGAAUCAGAAAGCCAACCAAAGGCAUGUUGUAUUUCGUUUGUGAAAGAGAUGAAUGUGGCUUUUGGUGUUGGUGUAAUCCGACUACCCGAGAGCAGCCAAGAUGGGAAGCUGGUAUUGGAAAACUAGUGGAGGAAGAACGACCACGUAUGGAAGCUAGCAUGAUGUCAAGAUGGCAAAAAGUGGAUGAGGAACUGAAGAGCCUGAAGUUGCUCAUUUGUUAUUGUCUAAUGGUGUCUGUGUUUUCACUAUUAGUGUUGAUGUCCAAGAUGUGAAAUUGAUGUGUUAAUCUUUUGUUUAGUUCUAGUAGUGACGUUGAAUGGGGAAGGAAAAUGUAGUGAAAAUCCAUAUGUACAAUGAUGAUUCCAUGUUUUGCUUUGUAGAAAUGAAAAAGAAAAAUUGCCUCAUUGUCUUUUGGAUAGUUAUUAUUAAAUGUAAAAGUUGUACUGUGAUUGAAAUGGGGUAUGCCCCUUUUUUGUUAUGCAACUUCCUGUAAAUGAAACUAAAACCUACAGAAGAGAAAUAAAAUGGUUGCUUUGAUAUUCCAUCUAUUCACUCAUACAAAAACAACCAUUUAAUAAGAAGGGAAUUGAAAUGCCUGCAAAAUGAUAUCCAUCAACCAUUCAAUAGCAUGAUAAUAAAUUGGAUGCAAAAUGCGAUCCAUCUUGCUUUGAUAUUCCAUCUAUUCAUUCACACAAAAAAAACAGCCAUUCAGUAAAAAGGAAAUUGAAAUGCCUGAAAAAUGAUAUCCAUCAACCAUUCAGCAACUUGAUAAUAAAUUAGACGCAAAGUGCUAUCCAUCUUUCCAUUCAUAUAAAAAUAGCCAUUCAGAUCAUACAUACAAAAGUAGAACACAUCAUUAUUUGUUUACACCAAACUCAACGCCCAAAAAUCAGUGCAAAAAACAAAAUAGUUUGGGCAUAUUUGCAGUCAUCCAAGUCUAAUUCAGUCACCAUAAAAUGCCAGUUUACAUCACAUCACCUAACUACGAAUCACACACAUAUACAAUUUAGGAAAAUGGAUUUGUUCUUGUUCUCUUGACCCUUAUUUUAUGCAGCACAUCAGCAACUGUUGGAGGUCUAACUCUUCCACCAGGACCAUUCUUAACAGGUUCUUCAAUCACAGUAGACUGUUAAAUGGAAGUAUGUUAGUAACAGAACAUAUGUUUCAAGUACUAUGUACUAAGAUUCAUGAAUAAUGUCUGAGAAGAAGCAAUUUUUCUAGUGAUAACCCUAUUGACAUUCCUAACAGGUCCUCCAGUCACAACAGACUAUUAAAUGGAAGUAUAUUAGUAACAAGACAUAUGUUUCAAGCACUAUGUACUAAGAUUCAUGAAUAAUACCUGAAAAGAAGCAAUUUUUCUAGUGAUAACCCUGUUGACAGUAGACAUUAUUGGUUGAGUAUAUGCUUUUCUCUUUGGAAUUUUUUAUUUAGAUGGAUUGGGAUUAUCAACCAGCUUUCCUUGAGAGGCUGGUUCUGAAGUGCCACCAGCAGAGUGGUUAGCUCCUUGUGGCUCUGAAGUUUCACCAGCAGGCUCUUGAUUUGCCUAUGACAUAAAAACAAAAAAGUUAUGAACUGUUAGUAAUAAAGAAGAGCCUAUGCCAUGCAUAAGAAGAUUGUACCUUGCAAAAUUUGAAAUUUGGAUGAAUUGAAUUCUUACAACUUCUUGAAUUGUGCCUAGGUUUGAAGCAUUUUUUACAAUGCACAGUAAGUCCUUUUCUAGUUGAUAUUUGUCCAUUCUUUAGUUUAUCAGGUGCUCUCCUCCGCACCUUCUUUGGCCUUCCAGCACCUUUCUUAUUAAUGGAGGAUUAAUUGACCCUUCUUUGGCCUUCUCCCAAUACUUUGCACUUGGUAUAGGCAUAAUUACAUGCCUAUAUGUCUUUCCAUAAGUCUCUUUGUUGUAGCAUUUGUAGACAAAAUCAACAAUUGGCUUUUUACGUGUUUGUACAUGCAUGGACACAUGGAUAACCUGUUAAUUGAAAUAACCCACAUGUAUAGGUCCAAUCCUGUAGGUUUACCACUACAGUUUUGUUAAUACCAGCAUCAACUUCAUAUUUCCAGCCAUCAGCCCAUAUAGCAACACAUGUCCUACUCAAUCUUACAUUUUUCUCAAUUUUCUCAUGGAUGUUUGGACAUAUUUUACCUUGAAAUUUUUCCAUCUCAGUCCUCUUUACCUGGAAUCGUUACAUUAGUCUUCUUCUAAUCCAUUCAAACAUCCCAACCACAGCCAACUCUCUUGCGGGAAGAAUGUAAUUGUUUAAUGAUUCAUUUAAAUUGUUAAUCAAUAUGUCACACUUACUUCUUCCACUGAAGUGUGAUCUGGUCCACAGAGUUGGUGGAAAUUUUGAAAGCCAUGCUAAUGCUUGUGAGUCAACUUUUUUCAUGUCUUUCAUUGCCACAUGCCAGUCUGCCUCAUUUCCAGCAGUUGCACAUGCCCAAAACAAGUCCUUCAGCUCUUUUCGUUUGAAUUUUUGGCUGAAGUUUUGAUACAUGUCUUAUGUAGAACCUAUGCUCAGAGUCAGGAAAAAGCUCUUUAAGAGCUUGAACAAGUCCUUGUUGUCGAUCUGAAAUGAAGGUCCAAGAUAUGUUGUCCAUCCCCAAUCCUAAAUCAUUCAAUAAAAGCUGUAGGAACCACCUCCAUGAGUCAUACCUUUCAACUUCAACAACAGCCAGUACUAUUGGAACCAUAUUAUCAUUACCAUCACUCCCUAAGGCAGAUAAUAAUUGGCCUCCAAAUGCAUUCUUUAAAAAGCACCCAUCUAGACCAAUAAUUGGUCUACAUCCAUCAAGAAAUCCCUGCUUGCAAGCAUGAAGACAGAAGUAUAUUCUUUCAAAUGUACCUCUAGACGCUGCAUCAGGUUUGUCAACUUGAAUCUUUACUGUGCUAACAGGAUUAUACUUCACGAUCAUGGCUGCAUAAUGCCAUAGAUUAUGAUACUGCUCCAUGUUUAAUCCCUGUAUAUCUUCUCUUGCCUUUCUCUUCACUCUAUAUAGCUUAGAUGAAGUGACACUGACCAUCAAAUCCCUUUUAAUCUCAUUCUGAAAACCAAUUAAGUUACACUUAGAGUCAUCCCUAAUUGAUAUCUUUGGCUAAGGUACCUUGAUGUAACAUGUUUGUUGUUGUACUCUCUACCACAAAAAUGCUCAUCCUUCAAAGUUUUGAUCUGGAAGGUACUAGUCCCUUGAACUUUUGAUGCAUGGAUCCUCCAUGAACAACCCCUCUCACAUUCAGCUGUAAUUUGGUAGAAGUCAUUUCUGAUCCACUUUGUUUCAUAUCCCUCUCUUAUAUUCCAUUCCAACAAAGCCACCCUGAAUAAUCUAAAAUUUUUGAACUUCUGGCCCACUUUUAGUUCAAAAUGAGGCUUGUUAAACUCAACUUUUGGAUCGAAAUCUAGAUAUUCUUCAAGUUUCUCACCAUCAGAACUAGUCCUCUCCAGCAGCUCCUCAUCGGGAAUUACAGGUUCAUUCCAAUUGGUUUCUAAUCUAACUUCACUGUUCAGUCCAUCAAAGUCUUCUUUAGGCUGUUGUUGUACAUGAUUUCCGCUGUCCUACAAGUGUGAACAUGUAGAAUAGUAUUUUGCUAGUGUUUCCCUCUCCUCAAUAGUAGGCUGGUCUCUUGCAGCCAAUUUCUUUGGACUUUUCAGAUCACCCUUCACAGCAAACACAUGCAACUUUGACUUAGCAGCCUCUUUCUUAGAUGGGUUCAUAGCAAAAAUGUCUUCAUCCUCUAUGCUCUCAAGGCCCUCUUCUAACCAAUUAGGCUCAACAUUUUUUGAUUUACCUGCUUUGUCCACAGCACUUUCUACUUUAUCCGUAGUUUCUUCACAUGUAUGGUUAGCAUUUGCACCCUCUUUUUGCAACAUGCUGAUCCCAUCACAAUGUUUAGAAGGCUCUUCAAAUGCUUGGUCCCUACUUACACUAUAUAUCACCCUUACAGGAAGAUGUAAAUAUGCAUCAUUCAUCAACUUAAUGUCAUCAUUCCCUGUAAUUGGUAGCAACCCAGUUUCUCAUGUCCAAAUCCAGUACACACCACCCAAAAGUGACCCUGGUUACAUUCUUCUCAAUUAGCUUGAACAUUCUGCACAGUCCAACUAUGGACAACUCACUUGGAUCUCUAUCCUUCCAUAUGGCUAGCUUGUAGUCUCCUACAUAGGCUGUGUUGGGCUCACUUCUAAAAAUUCUACCAAAGUACAAGUGUAUCUCAACCAUUUCUUUUUCUUUUUCUUGUGUGUUGUCUUCUGUUAACCAGACAAGUGCAAAAUUUUUUUUAUUAUUAUACAUAUAUAUAAAGUAAGUUGUCUGUACUUUAUGUAAAAAAAAGCAGACAUGAUAACGACGUAGGUUCACAACUACUACUCACAAGAAUCUUGCCCCAUCUAGACCGUUGAAUGCCAAUAAUAACAACAAUCUAACCACAGUAAUGAAAGUGAUAUAAACCAUUAUAAAAUUGAAAUUUUUGUAAAGCUCAAAUCUUUCCAACAGCUAGAAUUUAUCAACCUUUUUCUAACAUAUUGGUUUUAUCAUAAAAGUCAUAUACAUCUAGAUCUAGAAAUACGGAUUUAGGUGUUUAUUCACACUUUUAUUCAAAUUAUUCGAACAAACUAAGAUAUAUAAGAAAUUGGAAACAUCAAUCGUAACAAUCACAGUACAUCUAAGUCGACAAAUAAUCACUUCAAUACAUAGUAGCAUACAAAUCAAGGUGUUUAUUCACAUUAUUAUCCAGAUUAUUUCCCUAAACUAAGAGAUCGUAAAAUAGGAAGGAUUCGGAGCUUAGAAGCUUACCUAUCCUGCUACGGGUCUUCUCCUGAGUUUUCGAUAUGAUGCAGUUGACGUCAAAUGCUUGCAAUUGACGUCCUAUUCUGCUAGAAAUCUUCACUAAUUGUUAAGAACUUUUCCAAUCUAACAGAUUGUGUCUUCCUAGGGUUUCUAAAGCUUCACUCCUCUCUCUCUCUCUCUCUCUCUCUGUGCCUCUUUUCUUUGAAUUCUCAAAAGCACGAAAUAUUCUUGUGGAUAUCACUAGGAGUUAAGUGUUGUGGAGCUACUAAGGAGAGACCCUUAUUCACCACAAAAUAAUUUAAUAAAAGCCAUAGAAAGUGAAAUAUAGACAGCACAUAAAACUAAUAAUAAAGAGAUUCAGAAUAUUUUUACUCUCACUUACUAAUUGUUCAUUUUCUUUUUUCUGCUACAAAGAUGUGACCCAAUCCUCUUAAAUCUGCUUCAUUAUUAUGUAUCCGCAAAAGAAAAGAACAUACUUUCAAGGGAGAUACAAAUAAGGUGUGAGAUAAGAGAGAGGAAAAAAAAUACUUGAAGAUGAUUAGUAGAGAUUGGAGGAGAGAAGGGCAAUAGAGACGAUGAAUGAGAAGAGAGAGAAAAGAAGAAUCAUAACAGUGUCAGCUAAAUUAGGAAUAAAAGGGCACGCUUGUCUUCAAUGAGUUAGAUAGGCAUCAAAUUUGGAUUUUGUCCAAAACCCUCCAACUACUUGGGUUUUGGGAAAUCCUAGGUUUUAAGAAAUGAUUCCAAAAUUUUCAUUUCAAUAGUAUUAAUCCAAACAAUGAACAUAGGAUUCAUUCUAGAUCUUGAUUCCAAAACCCUCUUACCAAAUGUGUUUGGUAAGAGGGUUUCAGAAUGGAGAAUUAGAAUAAACUCCAUAAUUGUUGUUUGGAUUACUACUAUCGGAAUUGGAAUUUUAGAAUCAUAUCUAAAAAUUUGGAGUUCCCCAAUUCCCUAGUAACUUGGAGGAUUUUGGACAAAAUCCAAAUCUGAUUUCAGUUUAGAAACGAGGCCUGUCUCGCCACCCGUUAAAAUAAUUAAAAUAUAAUUAUAUACAUAUAUAAUAUAUACAUUAUAAUUAUAAUACUUUAUUAUAAUUACAUAUUGUAUUAUAAUAUUAGUAUAAUUAUAUAAUAAUAUUUAUAUUUAUAAUUAUUAUAUACACAUAUGAUAUAUUAUAUAUAUUAUAAUUAUUUAACUAAAUAUAAUUAUAUUUAUAUAAUAUAUAUUAUAAAUUUAUUAAUAUUGUAUAAUAAUAUAUUUAUAUUAUUUAAAAAUAUAUUUAUAUAUGCACAUUAUAUGUGCAUAUAAUUAUAAUAUAUGCGUGUAUAUAAUAAUAAUAUAAUUAUAUUUAUAUUAUAAUAUUUAUAUAAUUAUAGUUAAUUAUAUAUAUAAUAUUUAAUUUAAUUAGUUACAAACUUAUAAUAAUGAUAUUAUUAGUUAUAUAUAUUAUAUAAUGUAUAUUAGUAUAUGUAAUAUAAUUGAUAUUAUCAAUUAUACUAAUAAUUAUAUAUGUUUAGUAAUAGAAAUUAUUAAUUAAUUAUCUUAAAUUUAUUAAUACAUUUAAUUAGUGAAAAUUUCUUAUAUCUCAUAUCGAAAGAGUCAACGAACCAAACAUCAACUAUAUUAAUGAUAUACAUUUCUGAUAUUGAAUCAAACAGAUGUAUUGGAACGAUUGAUUCCAUUCCAAAUCUAGAAUGAAUGAUCCCAAAUUUAAAUCCGAUUUUAAGGUGUGAACCAAACGCCACGUUAGUUCAGCAGGGGAAAAUGUAAGAUACAGCGAUGUAGAGGGGCACAAUUACAAUUAAUCCUGAAAAAUAAUAAAUCCCAGGUACACCAAUAUAAAUUCUCCAAGAAAACAAGAGGGAAAAACAACUGAGAUUGCAGAAGCAAAAGCUCAACUGAUUAGGGUUCUUCUUCUUCUUCUUCUCCUCUCGGCCCAUCUUCAACUCCGUCCAGCCUAAGCGCUCUCUCUCGAUCAAACCAUGGCUAACUGUUCGUACAUCUUUCUCUCUAUCGAGAAAUUUAUGUACAUGAAAGUUAGGGUUUUUAUUUUUGUAGUUUUGGAUUGUUGAAGUUGUAAUUUUGACUCAUAUUUUUGUUUUUUUUUAUUGCUGAAUGAUUGUAGCGGGGGCGCGGUCGUUUUUACAGGUGGCGGCUACAGAGGAGGUUGCGCCGCCGCUGAGAGUCGUCCAAAUCGAGGGACUGGUAAUUGAGAUUGUAUAUUUAGCUGCAAUUCGGUGAUACUUUUGGAGAAAUAUUUGUUUAUGGCUUUGUCCCCUGAUUGUUUUGCUUGCUACUGAAUGAUUCCACAACCUUUAUGGUAAAUUUGUUUAGAGAUUUCUUUUGGUAAAAGCGUGUACCUUUUUUCUCUUUUUAGAAAAAAAAAAAGAAGAUUUGAAAUCUAACCAUUAUGGUUAUAGGAACAUGAACAAGCUUAAUAUGGGUUUGUUUUCAUAAAUCAAAUAAUUUUUGUGAAUUGUAUGUUUGUAAAAUUUUCAGUCCGUCAAGUAUUAUUUCUGGUAAAAUAUAUGUUUAAUUUCCUUUUUUUCUCCAGAUCUUUGCUUGUAUUAUGUUAAUCCUGCCCCAAAAGUAUUGUUUUAAUUCAGCCAUUAGAUUAUUAUUUUUUUAAAAUAUGCUAAUAUAAGAGGAAUGGGGAAGGACAUGCUGCAAUAAGCAGUGAUGAGUGUUGAGGUAGACCCUUGACAUAUAGUGCUUAAACUGUUGCUCUGAAGUACUUGGCUUUCUGUGGGAUUCGCAUUAUGAAUUUAACUAUGAAGCCUUUUAAUGAACUUGUUAAAGUAUUGAAUUUUCGUACUGUUCAUAUUUUCUUUAUACAGGUUGUUUUGAAAAUUAUAAAGCAUUGCAAGGAGUUUUCGCCAGCUUUGGUCACAGGGCAGCUACUUGGGUUGGAUGUUGGUAGUGUCCUUGAAGUCACCAAUUGUUUCCCAUUUCCAGUACGUUAAGUAGAGGAUUUUCUGAGUUUCAUACUCUGAAAGCUAAUCAUACUUUACUUUGUCUUUUCUAUGUUUUAUUCUGAUACUACAUUGUAUUUUUGUGAUAUGUAAAUGAUAGAUACGGGAGGAAGAUGAAGAGAUUGAAGCAGAGGGUGCUAAUUAUCAGCUUGAAAUGAUGAGAUGCUUGAGAGAGGUUAAUGUUGACAACAACACUGUUGGAUGGUGAGUUUGUCCUUGUAUUCGUUCUUUACUUCAAGUUGAUGCAAAGAAAGAACAAUGAAAAAGAUGGUAGUUAGACCCAUUUAUGGUGUCAUUUGAUAAACAUGUCUCCAGGUACCAAUCAACCCUAUUCGGUUCCUACCAGACAGUGGAAUUGAUUGAGACAUUCAUGAAUUAUCAGGUAUUCUUCUCUCUCUGCUUUUUUUAAUGUGAAUUAAAUUGAUUGAUAACAACACUGUCUACUCUUAUCUACUACCUAGAAUUAUCUGUUUCAAUCAUGCUUGGAAGUAAUGGUGUCAGCUUUUUGUUCUGCUACAUGAAAAUUAAGUCUUGCUUUUAACUAUUUGAGGGAUUUUUUUGGUGAGGUUAUGCUAUGAUUUACUUAAGCUUUGAGAGCUUUUAUUGCCCCGUGUGAGAUUUUUCCUUAAAACAUUUUUGGAAAUUGUGAUUUGUAAAACAUCAUGUAUGUAGAUUGUUGGUUCAUUUACUUCUACUCUUUGCCCUGUACGUAUCUACUGCAAUCGUUUUCUCUAUGUGGUUAAUCUAAACAAAUUUGUUUCUGCAGGAAAAUAUAAGACGGUGCGUUUGCAUUAUUUAUGAUCCUUCCAGGUCAAACCAAGGAGUUUUAGCUUUGAAGGCCUUGAAGCUCUCUGAUUCUUUUAUGGAACUCUACCGCAGCAAUAACUUUACUGGAGAGAAGUAUGGUUUUUUUUUAUACAGUGUACUCUUUUAGAAAGUUUUAGUGUAAAAUAAGAGAAAUUUUAUGACUUUAUCUAUCUAUGUUUUCUGCUUAGGUUGAGGGAGAAGAAUCUUUCAUGGGUUGAUAUCUUCGAAGAGAUCCCUGUAUGCCUUUGAUCCUUGUGUUAUGCUCAUAAUUCACCUCAUUCUUGGAUUUGGCUAGUUUAUAUAUGCAAAAUUUUGACAUACUAUGUCUUUCAUGUUGAAGCUACAUUUCUUUGACCCUAGCACUUGCACUUGUGUAUUUUUCUAAUUCUGGUUGAUUGGUUUGAAACUCUAUGAUUUUAAGAUCCACAAGUGUAAGGGCUGUGGUGUAUUUGUAUUCUAAUUCAUUUAUGUAUAUUGGCAUUCUUUUAUCUUGAUUUGCUCCUUGAAAUACAUUGUUUAGAAUUAUAUAUCAUAUAUUUAUUUCUUUCUUCUUCAUUUUCCUGCCUCCAUUUUCUGUUGUCCAGGUGGUAGGAUUGGUUUCAGAAUGCAUCUUGUUAGUUAAUUGAUAAGCUUUAUUGCACAAGUUGUUAAACCGACUUAUGUGUUAAAUUAUGUGCUCUGUACUGUUUGAGAUUCUUAUGUCACCUUUUCUGGACAGAUAAAGGUUUCAAAUUCUGCUCUCAUCAGUGCCUUUAUGACUGAACUUCAACCAGACACUCCUGUUAACCAGGUAAUAGUGUCCUCUAGUUUGUUGAUUCAUAGCUGGUUUAAUGUUUAAAUCAUUUCUAAGUUCGAUUUGCUUUUUGUAUGGUAGUGUGAUUAUGAAAGGCUACAAUUGUCAACCCAUCCAUACUUGGAGAGGAAUAUGGAAUUUUUGAUUGAAUGUAUGGAUGAUUUGUCAAUGGAACAGCAAAAGGUCAGUUUGUUUUCUCUUUUUUUUAUGGUGGUCCGUCAUUGUAAUGAAUUGUUCAAGUGAUCUGAUUUUUGUUUUUAUUACAGUUCCAAUUCUAUUACCGAAAUUUAUCUCGUCAACAAGCUCAGCAACAGGCGUGGCUUCAGAAGAGAAGGUAGAAUGUUUGUGAUAUAUUCUAGAGUAUUCAAGUAGUUUGUAUACAGAUAUUUGGUUGUUGUUUUGCGUUAGGGAUGGGUUUCAUGUAACUGAUGGAAGAAUGACUUAUUUUCAAGUUUAAUCUUGGGCCGAUGGUGUGGACUAUUUUUCAAGUGCAUUGAAGUUAUAGAAUGAUUAGAGUUAAAUUUGUGAUCUGAAAGUGCCGAAGUUGGUAUUAAAUUUUGUUGGUGGUUUGUUGGAAUCAAGUUAUGUUGUACGUUGUAUGAGCAAAAAUUUCAAUAUUCUUUCUGGGAAAUCAAAAGGGGAAGAAGAAAAGGCAUCUUCUAAGUGCCCAGUCCAAGUAAAAUUCUCUCUAUUUUCUUAAUUUGGUGAACUUCUUAGUGGUGGGGAAAAUGUCUGUUCGCUGAACAUUUUCGAUCAACAUUUCCCUUGAAGAGAGAUGAAAAGUGGAAAGUUUUCUAUGAAGGUUUGUCAUUUUUCUAUGGUUUGAAGAGGUUUGUCUUGUCAGGAAUAUGUAAGCUUUUGAAUGUUUAGUUCUACUCUUUAAGUGAUUUGGUUUCAGACUCCCUGACAGUCAGUCACUUGCUUGAUGCUUGCUUUAGCAUCUACUUUUAUUUAUUGAAAUCUUUGGUAUUUUUAUUUUUUGAUAGGGCUGAAAACAUGACACGUAAAGCUGCAGGGGAAGAGCCAUUGCCUGAAGAAGAUCCUUCAAACCCCGUUUUUAAGCCAAUUCCAGAACCAUCACGGUUGGAUAGCUUUCUCAUCACAAAUCAAAUUGCCAACUAUUGCAACCAAAUUAAUGGGUAUGUGCCAAAGUUGUCAAUAAACUGCCUUUUAUACUUUCACUUGAAUUGGACGAUGAGUCUAUUAUAUGAAAGUUAGCGCCACCUGAAAAUUUGGCCGUUGGGAUUUAAUGUUAUGACAACUAUAAGCAAUGUAUCACAUUAUCUGAACCUGGUAUGCUGGUUGCUUGCUUGUUCACAAAGUACCCCAUAGGGCCAUAGAUGUUUGUCUUAAAAAUAACCUUUCCAAUUUGCCAUCAAAAUGUGUAUAUGGUUUAGGAGAGCUUAUGUGUUCUUGACUUCCUGCUUUGAUUUACUGAAGAUAAGUUUACUACUGCCCAAAAAACAAGGCUUAUGGACAAAGUGGGUUUUCUACUGCUCCUUGCUGCUGCCUUCAGUUUCUGUUUCUAUUAUACAAUGUCUUCUUGCUUUUUAUAGUAUAUCUUCUAUUGUUUAAACCAUGAAUGUUUUUUGGUACUUCAUUUGCUACAUUGUAAGAUCCCCUCGUCCUGUUCAUUCUUGUGUGGGAUAAGUUUGGUGCUCCAACUGAUUUCUUUAAGUAGGAUUUAUGAUUUCAGCUUUUGGAGAAGUUACAAGGUCUGGCUUAAAAAUGCCAGGCAUAUUCCUUUAUGUCUUUCUUUUCAGUAUUAAUUCCUUCUUCAAUCAAUGAAUAGACAAGAUUCUAUGUUUGUUUGCUGUGAAUUACAGAGUUGCUGGACAAAGCUUCAGCAGGCUAUACUUGAUGAAAGCUCUGCAUGAAAACUGAAUGUUGUGCUUACCAGAACCUUAUUGGAAAGUUUCAAAGGGAAGGAGCUGGGAAAGUAUGGUCCAUCAUAGAAUGUGCAUUUUGUCAAUUUUCAGAUUGUAACUUAAGCAAGGAUCUUUGCUUAAAACUCUUACAGCGGGGGGAAGGGCAUGUUGCUCUAAAUUUGUAUUGAUCUUUCCUUCUGGCUUCUGUUUUUAUUUUGCCUGAUAUAUCAGUUGAUUUAUAUUGCGUAAACAGCAAAAUUUUGGAUGUAAGAUUUAGUGAUAGUUGAUUAAGUAUUCUCAAUUUUGUCAGAUCUGACCAAUCAAUCUGCCUAUAUUUUUGUAUUUUGGUCUCUCUCCCUCCCUCCCUCCCUCCCCCUGCUACUAGCAAUACACGCAGCAGAACCGAGUUAUAUGGUGCCAUCUGUUAUGAUGUGUCUUGUAAAUAUGCACAAAAGAGACCUCAUUGUGUAGUCGCAUAAUUCUUUUCUUUCCUGUACAGUGUCUGUGUCAGUUUUUCCCUGGGCUUCUAAUAGACUUAAUAGUUCUCUAUAUUGAUAUUACUUGAACAGUUUGGCUGUGCCUCGAUUUCUUCGGCUUUAGUGGUGCCAAUGUCAAGUUUUCUGAGAAUUUUUUUCCGCUGAAAGUGUACAAGUUCAUUGCUAGUUUGACUUUUUGGUUGAAAAAACAAUCGACAUGUAAACGGAUUUUUCAAUUAGGGAUAUUGUGAAAGAGAUGCCCGUCAGGUGAAAGUUUUAACAGUGGCCGGAGGAGUUCUAAUUGUAUGUCAAGCAAUUCUUCAAUCUAGGAAUAUGGAAAAAGAGAUUCCCACUGGGUGAAAAGUACUAUUUGUGACCUGAGAAAUACACUAAUUUUUUCCUUGUUUCCUUGUAAGAUUUAUGGUCCUUUGGACCCCAAAAAAAAAAAAAAAAAAAAAAGGAAAGAGUGAUACUGUUAUUACGAAAAAAAAAGGGAGCAAAGUAGAAGUGAGGCAAUUAGGACCAAUAGACUUGGGUCGUGGUUGAUAUUAACUGAGACGGUUUUAAAAAAAAAAGAAGAAUUGACAAAACAUACUUCCUUCUUAUGUUUGAUAUAACACUUUUUUUUUUUUUUACCUAACAUUAGUUAAUUGUUGUUUAAGUUAAUCUUGCUGAUUAACUCUUGUAAAAUCGGGCGUCCAAAUUAUGUAUUGGUGCUGUGAGUAUCAUGAAAAUCACCUCUUUCUAUUCAUUAACAUACAAGGGUGAUCUCCCAAAUUUAUUUUUAUAGAAACUAUGGAAUAAUAAUAACGUUUCAACUUUUCAGAUUUUAGAUAUAUGAAGCCAUUGUUUUCUUACCCCAUAGGGCCGUAUUCUAGAAUUGAAAACAGUGAGUGCUUUGAUAGUAUAUUAUUUGAAAUAUUAUUUAGAAUAAUUAUCGUAAUGUGAUAUAUGUAAAAUAAAAAGAUAGUUGAAAAAUAUUUAAAAAAAUUAAUUAAUUAAAAAAAUAUAUUUAUGAUGCAAGUAAAAUAAUUUGUAUAUCCAAACAUACCUUGCCGAUAUUCGAUAGACCAGUUACACUGGAGUCUAUCUAAGGAUUUGGGGACUCCUAGUGGUUAGAAUGGGUGAUGGUAUUCAGGUAGAUGAUUCACCAUGUGUGGUUUUGGCACAGGAAGUUUUUACAUGAAACUCAAUCCUUAUAUACAGAUAAGCAUCAGCAAAAGGGGAGUUUGGGCUUGGCUGGUGGAGGCGGUGGUAUCUAUCAGGGUCUCUGAGAUCAAGAACCAGCUGGAAAGAGAUCAAGAAGUUGAAGAAGAUGAAUUAAGGGAGGAAUAGAAGAAGAAGAAAAUUAGGCAGAGGAAGAGCAAGAGCAGUUGAGAGAAACAGAGAGAAAAAUUAUGUUAUUGAGUAAGGAUUGCUUCACUACAGUUACAAGUAUUUAUAUUUCCCUGAGCAACUAACUGAGCCUCACACAAACUAUGCCAUUGAAAACAUACAUAAAUUAUCAAAGUACUUGUGAAAUAUUCAACAUAUUUGGGGUCAUGACAAUAUUCCCGCCUUAAAAGAAUCCUUGCCCUCAAAGGAUUGAGAUCAGGAAUGAUACUAAAUUUUGGCUUGGCCUAAAAAGAAUAUGACCAAAGAAGCAGCCUGUAUCAAUUUGCUUUCGAAGCCUUGAGGUAAAUUUUGGAAGUUGCAGCCUAGUAGAAAAUCCCAUCCUCCUGGACCCAUGAAAAGACUCUCUUCCAAAAGUUUGUAGCCUUGAACUGAACUUCCUCUUGCAGGCCAAGUUCUUGCAACUAUCAAAAUCUUUGACACACCAUAAACUUCAAUGAAAAUACCUUGUCCUUGUUCAAUUAUAGCUUGGACAUAGUCUGCCCCCACUUGACUAGUUAAUUUGAAAUGAGAACUCUCAAUUGUAUCUUUACAGUCAAGUGCAACUCGAUAAUUUGAAUAUCAUUGAACCUUGUAACCAGGUGUAUACUGGUGCAAACCAUAAGGUUCCCAUUCAAAUGAGGAUAUUCCCAUUUCCAUUACUUCCCUACGAUUGAUCCCCCUGGAGUCAGCAUCAACAAAAUCCAAUGACUUGAUCUUCCUCAUCUCAAAUUGGUUUCUAUUGGGAUGAACAGAUACAAGAAUGAAACUUUCUGCAAGUGUAUGAUCAGAACUAUUCUUUUCUCCAAUUUUACCACUUAACUCAAGAACAAGCCCAGUCCCUUUCGUCCAACUUUUACCAAAAACAAUUCCAGCAUCCAAAACACCCAAGUGGCAAAUUUCGCACUGAUUCCUUGGAACAUGGCUCAUUAUAGCUUCCACAAGUUCGUAAUCCAAUACCUCCUUAAGAUUCAACCUCAACUGAAAGAUUGUAAUGUGACAUCUCGCUUCUAAUACAUGCUUGCUAUUGGUCUCAUGGUUCAAAGACUCGGCCGAAUCAUCACCGGAACGGAGCUCUCCGAUAUGAUAUCGGGACAAGAUAACUACGAGAUAAUGGAUCACCAGGAACUCGGAUGAAACAGAUAGAAACGACCGAAUAGCUCUGAAUCAACUCAAAUUUUUAUUAUUUUUGCUAAUUUUUUUUAUUAUUUUUGUUUAUCAUACGUUUUUAUAUCAUACAUAAUUUUUAAAAUAUUAAAUGUUUCAAAAAUUUGUGUCUCGCCGAAACUGCGAUCAAUAUGCCGAAACCGAUGUAAAACGAUCCGAACCGCAACCUCUGACUUUGAACCAUGAUUGGUCUCUUGAUCCCACUUAUACAGGUAGACAAGCACCUUCAACAACGUAAUUUCAAUGCCCCUUCAUGGGGAAAAUUUACCAUCCUACUCUUUGGACAACUGCUUGGAGAUUUGCGUAAGAUCAGCAAAGUUGUCAGAAAACAUAGUUGAGAAAAUUGCAUCACAGUUCUUCCUUCACUUCCAAAAUUGAACAGCAAGUUUCCCACACUUCCAAAAUCAAUUAACACCCCACGGAAGUUCUCAACACAAAAAAGGCUCAACUCGUUUCUAGAUCUUCCCAAGGGUUUAGGAAGAAUCAUCUUAUUCAUAUCCCAAAUUGCAGCUCGAAGAAUCUUGCUUGAUAAAAAUUUGGUGUGAGAAUUUGCUGUCUUCUCCAAUACUAGUGCCACCUUUGAACCCAGUGCCUAUUUCAGACCACGAUUUUCAUUACAAUUUUGGAUUCCUUACUGAUAAUUCCAGCCAAAAUACUCUUGAAGGAGAAAACCUAUGAGAACCUCCAUGAAGUCUCCUGGCUUGAAGAAUUGUAGCACAAAUUUGGUCUCUUUCUUCAAGGCAAUAGUACACAAGAUUCAGCCAAUCCAAGGCCUCCUAAUAACAUCAAUGAUCUGAGUUCUUCAACCCCUUUCUGAUUCUUUUCAGCAAUAGAUCACUGCUGUAAUAUGCUAGGCUCAUCUACUUUAUCUUGCAAUCUUUCCCUAUCUAAUUCAUGACACACGUCAAAAUAUUUAGACAUAUUAUAUUUUCCUUCCAUCAAUUGCAGGUCCUGGGACUCAAUAUCAACAUUCUUUUGUACACAAAUUCCAUGAGUUUCAUUCUUCGUAUUAUCCAGCAAUUGACAAUUUAUAUGACUUCAUCACAUUUUCUCAUCCCUUGGAAUUUUCUAUAGAAAUCAUAAUCAAGUCACUAGUUGAAGACUCCAAAAAAGAACCCUUACCAAUUUCUUUCUCAAUUAGUUGCUCAUUAAUAUCAGCCGUCCCUGACACAACAUCAUCUUGAAUUUGCCUUCCACAUCAAUCUUAUGUUUUUCAACCUCCUCCUUGACUUGAGUGGAUAAGGUAGGCAACCCUAAAUCACCAAUAAUUCUUUGAUGUUCCUCCAAGGUAAACCCUUUUUCAUUGCCGAGUAACCUAAGUAUGAUAUUGAAUUAGCAAUCAAUACUAUAAAUGGUUACAUCCAAUUUACUGUAGAUUCCAUUACUUGGUUCAGUAUGCAGGAGAUGAUCAAACUUAUUUUAAUCUGAUUUGGAAGAUCCAUGCUAUUAAGUAGGGAUUGAUUUGUAAACUCAUUUUUGGCACAAAGGGAAGUCCUGUGCUGAUGCUUUAGCCAAAAAUAACUUGAAUUUGGAGACAGGUGUUACUUUGUUACCAGAUCCAACCUUCAUUAGGCAAUUGUUAGCUUCACAUCUUGUGGGUGCGACCCACUGCAGAUUUGUUUAUGCAUAACUAGCUACUUCUGCAAAGGUCAUGUGAAGUUGAAGAUACCAAUUGAACACGGUAAAAAUAGCAAGAAUUAUUUUGUCGGUCCAAAUGGAGUAGAAGAUGAAAUCCUAUGUAGCAUUUAAGCAAAACCUAAUAGAGUAUCAAUAAAGACACAAAGCCUUAUAAAGCUCAAAUUUUCAACUGAAAUAGUAUUUGUACAUUUACAGGAUUGGACGAUCAAAACUGACCUUUUUAACUAUUGUCACAAGUUCCUUAAUCUUGAACCCAUAUCCUCAGACUCCUAUCAUUAUCAAGCCCAGCAGAAACAAUCAUGUUCUCAAUGGGAUGGCAAGUGACGGAGAUGACAACAUCAGUGUGCCCUUCAAGCUUCUGAAGCAUAUUCUUUCCUUGCAGAUCCCAUAUGCAGACGCAUUUGUCCUCUGAACCACUGACAAUGUACUUCCCAUUUGUGACUGAGAAAGUAGGCGUUAUGCAAUACAAUCUAUUCACAUGGCCCGUGUACACUUUCAAAGACUUCCCAGCUGCAUAGUUCCACAACCUCUGCACCCCCAGCCACCAGAAAGAAAAGACCCAAGUCAAAUUAAUAAUGAUUAAUUAUCUCAAGUGAACAGGGAGAAUCUAAACAACUUCAUAACUAUAAACUUAAUGAAUGAUCUCCAUUCUACUUAAAAUAGAGUAAAAAUUCAAGCUCCAAAUAGAGUAAAAAUUCUAUUGAUUCUUAGACGAUUCCAAGUAAAACAGGAAAACAUUUACACUUACAAGAGUAUCAUCCAAAGUGGCGACCAGGAUAAACUUGCCAUUAGGAGAAAACUUUGCGAAGGACACCGCCGGAACCUUUUCAUCAAUAAGCGUCAUAAGGCACGAGCCACUUGCGGCAUCCCAAAUCUUGCAAGACCCAUCAUGACUACCCGAAACUAUCAACGAUCCGUCCCUAUUAAAAUGCACAGAUGUAACGGGCAUCGAGUGGGCCCGAAUUACAUGAACCGACUUGCCCGUUUUCACGUCCCAUACCCGAACCGUUUCGUCGAAGGAGCCCGAAACGAUGAGGUUCGACUGGGGGUUAAAAUUGACGCAGAAGACGAAGUCAGUGUGGCCGCGGAGAGUUUUGACGCAUUCGGCGGAGCGUGCUCGCCAAAUGCGGAGGGUGCGGUCGUCAGAAGCGGAGCAGACGUAGGUGGAGUCGGGGGACCAGGCCAGGUCGGAGACGCCGUCGGAGUGACCGAUGAGGCGGGAAAUUUGGGUUAGGGUUUCAGCGGACCAGACAAUUAGGGUUUUGUCUAAGGAAGAGGAAGCGAAGAGCUCGCCGUUGUUGGCGAACUUCACGCACGAUAUAGCCCGCGUGUGGGAAUUGAGAAUUUUCUUUAGCCGAUAUGGGCGGUAUCCCGGCACCUGAGACUGAGACUGAUUGCUGCUGUUGUUGCUUGCCAUGUAAGGAUCCGACUGUGAUAGGGCGUCCGCCGGCCGGCGAGUGGAAGAUUUGCCGAGAGUGACAGCCCCGGAGCUUUUCUUUUUGUCUUUCGUUUUCCUCCCGUCAAAAGGCCUGAGCUUUGAGUUUGAGCAUGUGUAUUUGGAAACCUUUUUGUGAAGUUUAGUGACGGGUUCAACUAAUAUAUACAUUUUACCUCAUACAUACUAGUCAAAGUUAGAAAAAAAAAAAGAGUGCUAUGAUAUUAUUACCUUUUUAUUCAUGAAAUUAUCUAUAUCUUAGUGUUAUUUCUUUUCAUUAUUAAAAAAUAUAAUCUUCUCUAUUGUAUCAACUAUAAAACAAUAUCAAAAAAAAAAAGUUUACAUUUAGUUUAUAACCUUAGAAUUUUUCCUAUUGGAGUAAUAUUCACUUUUAUGUAUGCUUUGUUCAAUUUAUUAUACUUUAAGUCAAACAAAAUGGAUAAAUAAUACAAUAGUAAAUUAAUCACAAUUUCUAAUUUUUUUAAAAAAAGAGGUAAUACUAAAAUUAUUUUUAAAAAAGUUGUAUUUAUUAUUUUAGUUUUGAUGUGAACUUUUAGGCUAAUAUUGUUGUCAUGUUUUGUUGAUGUAUUAUAGUUUACUAUUGUUGCAUUUUCUUCUAAAAAAAUUAAAUUUGAUUUAAUCUCUAUUUCCUUCUCUAGGUUUAAAAAUGAGACGUAUCAACCAUUUUUAGCAAUUUUGAUUAAGAAUUUAAUAUUGGAUUAAUUUGAAAAAUAAAAAAGACAAUAAUAUUUGUUUAAAACUUUAAAUAAAUUAAAAUAUUGAAAAAAAGAAAAAAUAAUUUUUGUAUUAUCUCUUUUUUAAAAAAAUGUAAUUGUGCUUAAUUUAGUGUUGUGUUAGCUAUCCUUUUUGUUUGACUUAAAGUCUAAUAAAAUGAACAAAACAUAUAUAAAUACAAACCUUAAUCCAAGAAGAAAAAUUUGAAGGAUAUAAACUAAAUAUAAACUUGCUUUAGUUAUUUAGUUUGAUAUUUUUGUCUCGUUGAUAAGAUAGAGGAGAUGUAAGUAUUUUAGCACUAAAAGGAAAUGAUAUUAAGUUAUAGAUAAUUUCUUGAAUAAAAGGGCAAUAAUGUUAUUACACUUACUCUCUUUUUUUUUUUUUUUUUGUAUUUAUAACUUUGACUAGUUUUCAUGGGGUAAAGUGUGUAUAUUUAAGGUUGAGUGGGGUAAAGUGUGACUAUGCCUAAGUUGUUAUAUAAUUCACAUUUUCCUAGUAGACUUUGAAGAUUGAUGUCCCUGCAUCCACAAAUUUCUUCUUUCGCUCAAUCAUAAGUUUUGCCCACUUUUCUUCAAUCUGGAUUUGUCCCCUAUCAAGAUUUCUCAUGUAUGGCUGCUUUCUACGACAGAAAGUGUUUUCUUUGUAGAUGGACCAGGCGAGAUUUUUUUUUUUUUUUUUUUUUGUGUUCUUAGUACUUAAUAUCUCGAUUCUACUUUGUGUCAAAAAGUAAUUUCUGCUUAUAGUUGUGUCAAAAAUUUGGAUAGUUGUGUAUUUGUUCCUUUAUUAGAAACUUGCAAAUUGUCCUCUUGUUGUGUGUUAAGUACUUCUUGAUCUUCAACGGCCUAUAUAUUUUUGCAAUUGGAAUGCUGAAAAUGAAAUGAAUGCAGAAAAUUGGGCAGUUUUAUGCGAUGAACUUGAAUCUGGCGGAUAGGAGAGUCCUCCCUGCUACCUAAUUCAAGGUUCAAAUCUUAAACCUGACAGUUGCCGGUAGCGAGAAAAAAAAAAUUGUUUCAGCAAAAGUGUGUGUGCAUUCUGCCAGGUCCUCAUGUGGUUUUCGGUAUUAAAUUUUGCUGGUUUAAUCGCUGUUAAAUUGGCAGCAGUCAUGAAUUCGGAAAUAUGGUUUAGUUUUGGUUCCAAAAAUUUACUAUCUACGCACUUCAGGUUAUCAGAAUGAGAAAUAAUCCCUUACCUAAAAAUAACAAAGUUUAUAGGUCUGAUGUUUUUAGUAGUCAUCUUCCUGCUUAUGUUUUAAGUUUAAGGUUUUGCUCGAGUCAGAGCUGCUAUGUUUGGCCUGUUCUAUUAAGGUAAUCUUCUUUGUUUCUUGGUGAAGUUGAGAUGUGGCUUAGGACUGCCAGGCCUGAAUACAAGUCAAAAGUUGUGCCUCCAUUCUUUUGAUUCAGAACAAUAAUACAUGGAUGGAUGCCCAUUUUCUUCAAAUAUGAUGACUUUGUAGACAUAUUACACGGUUAUUACCAUCUUGAAAAAUAAUUUAUUGCAUCAAAUUUAGGGUUCCAACUUAUAAGGUCAUUUGUAGAUCUUGAUAGACAGAAAAUAUGGUGAAUUAUGGUCUUCGGUUAUUGGGUAAGGCUUGCACUGGCAGUACAAGUUGCUACCACCUUAUUCCUAUACAGUGUUUAAUGUCCAUCUCUUGGUAUUAAUCAGUCCUUGGUUUGUAUCAAAAGAAUGUCCAGUUUUGUGUAUGCAGUAUUGUUGUUGGGAUAAUUGCAGAAACCUCCCCUGAGGUUUCUUUGAGUAGCACUCACUUCCCCUGUGAUUUACAAAAUAGCAUUGACCGCCACUAGAAACUAAUUGGGGCCUAUUGUUGUCAAAAGAGUGUGUGAAUUUAGCUAGCAACCCCCAAUUAUCUGUGGUUAUCUGAUGAACAAAUUUUACAAAAGAAUGAAUGUGGCUUGUGAACAAAUUGAGGGAGUAAAUAAGCUAAUUAAUUACUAAUUAAAUAAAUUGAGUAACUAAUUGUUUAGUAUUAUCCUUUCAAAAAUAUUUAGUAACUUAAACAAAUUGUGUAGUAUUACCCUUUCAAAAAUGCAGACGAAUCCAGGCUUGGAAGAAGUGUAACGGGGGGACCUAAC
rnacentral:lncRNA from 1 species